rnacentral:ncRNA from 1 species
UACAUUUGCUUCGAUUUUGGUUUUAAUAUUCAGGAUAUUAAAUUAAAUGGGAAUUCGGUUAAAGGCCGAAACUGUUCCCGCAACUGUGAGCUAAAAAAGGUUAUAACUGUAACUUUUACCACUGUUUAUUUAUAAAUGGGAAGGAUGGUUAUAAAACGCAAGUCAGGAGACCUGCCAUUAUCAAAAAAUAAAAA